ensembl:lncRNA
CCCCGUCGCGGCUUCCGCUGAGCUGCCUGUUCCGGAGCACAAACAAUUUCUGCUCUGACGCGGGGUCUCUCGGGCCCUGGCGUCCUCUCCUCCCUGCCCCCCCCCCCCCUUCCGGGUACGAGAACUCAAAACAACUCGCUGACCUUCGGGCGGACCAGCUCCGGCUUCCACCGACUCCGGCAUUCCGUUGAAACCCGGCAGCGGCGGCUUCUAAGAUUUCACUCCGCGCUGGGCUGGGGGGAGGGGGUGAUUUCUCCGGGAGGGGGUGUCUCAGAUCGAAAGAGCCACUUCAUGCUCCUUCCUCUCCUCCGAAGUGAGUUUUUAGACUCUCCGGAGGCCUUGGGGAAACACGGGCAGCCGCGCGCAAAGAAAGCCCCCCUUCCUCCCAACACACACACACACACAAAUGCCGCCUUGACUAGUGUCUGACCCGAUUUCCAGGGUCACGGCCCAGCAGCAGAGCGCCCGGGCAGCCUCCGAAAUACCACCAAGCGGUGGGUUGUGGCACCCAGCAGAGCUGGGGUGGAGGUAUCGCGCUAAAAAAUAGUAGCUCAGACUUCCACGCUCUUUUCUAAGUACUUGACAAGCCCUCCAACUUUACAGAUCAAGAAACUGAGGCAUAGACAAAGGUCAGUUAAGUAUCGCGCUCAGAGUCACCCAGCUAAUUAAAUGACCUAGUGGGAAUCUGAACGCAGGUUUUCCAGAGCCUAGGGUGGCUAACCAUUAUGCUAUAGCGCUCACCUUGGAAUCACAGAGCCACCCACAAUACGAAACUUAGUGUUCGCUUGAUGGCUACAUAUUUUGUACGUUACAUUGUGGCUGGCACAGAGGCACUCGAAAAAUAUUAGUGGAAGGAAUGGGUGUCUGAAUAAGUGAUUGACAGAAUCAUGGAUGGCAAGUGAGUUUAGAGAAAACAGCGCCAACCAUUGUUCCUUCUAAGAGGAUUGUCUUACCUUAAUAAAACCUCUAGCUGUUUUUUGAAUGUUUGCAGGUAACAGGAAACUCUUAUUCAAAAAUAUAUGAACUUCCCACCCCUGCUCCUCAGCCAAUCAGCCUGGCAGCAUUUGAACUUGCUGGGGCACAUACCCAAAGCAGCUUUUACUUGGUCUCAGCCAUUUUUUCCCCACCCUGUUCCUUCUCUGUAGGCUUCCGCUCAGGGUCAGGCAGCCUGGAACUGCAUUUGAAGUGAUUCUGAACAUAUAGCAAGAAAGGAGUGUAUACCCACCAAACAUGGCUCACUGGCUUCCCUUCCACAGGCGGGUGCUGGUGGGGUGAGGGGAGCGUGGCUUGCAGCUCAGUGCUUAUUUUUUAAUUCUCGGACCACAUAAGGAGCACCACCAUCCGUGCAGCUUGCUUCAAAGUCACAGCCCCUCACCAGCUGUGAGGUCACACCUCUCGGAAGGCAGUAGUCUACCUUAACCAACAGCUCUGAGAUGCUCAUCAGUGGGACCACAUCUGCAAUUUGGAGAGCUGCCACUGGUGUUCUGUGCUGUCCUGCUCCUUCCGGUGGCCCAAGAGAGGAUAUGAUUUUUAAAAAGUUGUUCUAUUUAGAUAAUCCAGUACAAUGUACUUUUAUGCUACGUUGUUAUCUUCCUCCCCUCCUUUUCUAGACCUAACCAGUUGUCUCUUCUAGGUCGCUAGUUGGGCAACCUGAAAUGAGGACAAGUUUCACUUCAAGUUACCUGAAAGUGAACUUUCGCCUUUCCAAUUUGAUUCCUCCAACAUCUGUUGAAUGGCUCUCGGUAGCCCCCCCGGUACAUAGUUGCAUAUUCUUCCUUGUGGGUCCUUCUAGUUGUGGCAUGUGGGAUGCUGCCUCAGCGUGGUUUGAUGAGCAGUGCCAUGUCCGCGCCCAGGAUUCGAACCAACGGAACACUGGGCUGCCUGCAGCGGAGCGCGCGAACCCAACCACUCGGCCACGGGGCCAGCCCCUCUCUGUCUUUCUUUCUGACAGUUAUCUAUUUUGGCUCACGUUCCUACAGUUAUUAACCAAGAAAUGAAAACGUUGAUUUUCUCUGUAACAACCCAAUCUUGAUUCUGAGGCUGGGCUUUUGGCCUCUUCUUUUACAG